GCCAUUUUGUCUGGGCAGCGGUGGCCGCAGGUCUAUCGCAUUUCAUGUUUCUGGCGAGAGGACAGCGAUGUCUUUCUACCGUAGAUCCUUUUCAGUGCGGUACCCGUCCGCGGUUCUCCCCAGGACAGCACCUAAGUGAAGGUCGGAGGAGUCGCGAGUCUGCUUAAAAGGGAACUUUCCAGGGGGUAAUCACCUCUAAUUUCACUACACAGCUUUCAGCUGUUACUCCCCAAAUAACACAUCAGAGGGCAUUUGGAAAUUACUAAAAAGCCAAAAGAAGAGCACCACAAUCUUUGUAUUCCCUCCACCAAAAGAAAGCAUUGGAAACAGAAAAUAUUGUGUCCUUAAAGCAUUUUUAUGGCUGCAUAGUAUUCUGCAAGCUUCAUUUUGUGGAAAAAUGAAGGAAGGUAUUCCAGUUUUUAAAUACCUAGAUUUGCUACCUGUUGAAAAUUAUG